rnacentral:ncRNA from 1 species
AAUAAAUCUGUGAGAGGGAGAGUACUUGUUGCAAGACCACUCAGCGAGCCGGGGGAUGGUGUAAGCCCGGUGUGGAUGGCAGCAAGGAAGAUCACCCUUGAGUUCGGGUAUGAACGAUCUUGAGCGAGAUCGAGUAGUGCCCGACGUUGAUUCGCGUUAAGAUAAUCAUGAGUGGCAGACUAUAUCUUUACUCUGCUAUUAGGGUGGUACCGCGGUCCUUCCGUCCCUUUG